rnacentral:rRNA from 1 species
GGUUAAAACUCAAAGAAAUUGACGGGGGCCCGCACAAGCGGUGGAGUAUGUGGUUUAAUUCGAAGCAACGCGCAGAAACCUUACCUAGGCUUGACAUCCGACGCUACCCUAUGAAAGUAGGGGUUCCUUUCGGGAACGUCGAGCCAGGUGUUGCAUGGCGUUCUUCAGCUCGUGUCUUGAGAUGUUGGGUUAAGUCCCGCAACGAGCGCAACCCUCGCUAUUAGUGUCCACCAUUAAGUUGGGCACUUUAGUAAGACCGCUCGCCGAUAAGGCAGAGGAAGGUGGGGAUGACGUCAAGUCCGCAUGGCCCUUACGCCUAGGGCUACACACGUACUACAAUGGACGGCACAAUAGGACGCUAAGCCGUGAGGCAGAGCUAAUCGGAAAAAACCAUCCUCAAUUCAGAUUGGAGUCUGCAACUCGACUCUAUGAAGCUGGAAUCGCUAGUAAUCGUGGAUCAGCAUGCCACGGUGAAUACGUUCCCGGGCCUUGUACACACCGCCCGU